ACCAUCACCAGCUUCCACUCCCUCCCUUUCACAGUUGUAGUUGCUGAUAGAAUACAAAAACAGGGGAGAGAGAGUAGAGAACAAGUUUGAUAGAGAGAGAGAGAAGAAAGGGGGAGGAGGGAGGGAGCAAAAAACCGGGUGAGGGGAGGUGGGGGAGAGAUAAAUAAAACACAGCGAGGCCUCUGGCUCGGCGGCGCCCGGGAUGCGGCUCCACUGUUCUCCUUCCGGCGGCGCGCCGCUGCGGGAGGCGCCAAUGGCGCUGGACUGAGCUGUGAGUCAUCCGGCGGCGGCGGCGGUUGAAGGUCAGACCUUGCCGGUGGAAUGCACGGGCGGCGAGGCGGCAAGGCAGGUUACUUCUCGCACAAUUCGAGAUCGGUUCCCCUGAUUGCGCUCAUUUCUUGAUUGCUUCGGUGGCUCAACCCUGAAUUUAAGGAGGGAAAAAAGGGACGGUUUCCAGUUUGCAACUAGUUUGCUUGUGUAGAUUUGGCUGCUGGAAGAUUCAUGCAGCCUUUAGCAUUGCUGUAGAGUCGUUGUGAAGUUUGAAGGCUGUUCUGGUUAUGUUGGGUGACCAGCAGGUAUUGGCCAUAGAUUCAGCAACCUCAUCAAGCUCGGCACCUGAUUUGACCCUCUCUGAAGAGCUCACUUCUGGAAGCAGCAACUGUGUGUCUGACUGCAGGUGUCUUGGGCAGAGAAGGGAAGACAGGUGGAGGCUCUGGUGAAUUGUUAUAGCAAGAAGAAUAAGGUUGGCAGUGGUUCAGGGAAUCCUGCAAUCGAAUCUUGGGGCUCUGAGAUGGAGGAUGCUGAUCAGAAUGGUGAAGUCAACACAAAUGAGCUCAUCAACGGGAUCGGUCGGGAGUUGACCAUCUCCUGCUUGCUCCGUCUUCCCCGGUCCUACUAUUAUGAUGUGGCAUGUGUCAACCGGUCUUUCUACUCCCUUGUAAGGUCUGGGGAGCUUUAUAGGUUGAGACGGGAGGCCUGGAUUGUCGAACAGAUGAUCUAUUGCUCAUGCAAUGUGCUCGAGUGGAAUGGUUUUGAUCCAUGCCGCCAACGGUGGUUCAGCAUCACUUCCAUGCCUGCCAUAGAAUGCUUCACACUUGCUGAUAAAGAAUCCCUGGCCGUGGGCACCAAUAUCCUUGUCUUCGGGAGGAGGGUGGAAGCCCAUGUUGUGCUGAGGUAUAGCCUUCUAACCAACUCCUGGACAACUGGGGAGAUGAUGAACACACCGAGGUGCUUGUUUGGCUCAGCAAGCUUCGGUGAGAAGGCUAUUGUAGCUGGUGGUAUUGGUGAGAAUGGUACAUUGAGCUCUGCUGAGCUUUAUGAUUCUGAGAUGCAGACCUGGACCACUCUUCCAAGCAUGAAUAGGGCGCGGCAGAUGUGCUCUGGUUUCUUCAUGGAUGGCAAGUUCUAUGUCAUUGGGGGGAAGGCAGAGAAGCACAAUGAGAUCCUUAGUUGUGCUGAGGAGUUUGAUUUGGAGAAUGGCACCUGGCGAUUGAUCCCAGAUAUGGCGCGAGGCCUUAAUGGUGGGAGUGGUGCUCCACCUCUUGUUGCUGUUGUGAAUAAUGAACUUUAUGCUGCUGAUUAUGCAUCAAAGGAGGUUAGAAAGUAUGAUAAGGAAAAUAAUGCUUGGAUCACUCUUGGAUCAUUACCUGGGAGGUAUACAUCAGUUCAUGGCUGGGGCUUGGCUUUUCGCAGCUGUGGAGAUAUGCUCAUUGUCAUUGGUGGAAUCAGUGUUGGUGGUAGUGGGGUGAUUGAAAUUUGUUCCUGGGUACCCAAUAAUGGACUGCCUGAUUGGAAGAUCAUUGGCACCCACCAUUCAGGAAGCUUUGUAUACAACUGUGCUGUGAUGAGUUGUUGACAUACAAGGCUAUUACAUUAUCAAAACUGUACAUCUUGACCAAAAGGAAGGAUAAAGAAGGCAAAUUCUGCUGAGCCUGUUUACUACAUGAUGGGGAAUUUCUGCCCCCUGGCAUUUUAGGCUGAGCUGAAGGUUGGAUAGAACUUUCUCAUGUAGCUUCUUACUGCUUAUGUCUAAUCUCUUUAUUUUAAUUCCAUUUGGAGGGCCUGCAAUUGCACAUGCAGUGCAGCAUUAGAUUAAUAAUUUGGUGCAACCUCAAACAUUUUGAUCUUCCCUGGGUACUUUGAUCAAAGUUUCUUAGCUCCAGAGAGUAGCCUUACAUUGGCAAAUCAUUUGCCCAUAGAUUGUAAGAAAUAAAGGAAGAAAGAAAUAUGUCCUUGUUGACAAUCGUCGCCUUUUCUCUUUGUCUUUACUUGGUUAAUAGUGACCGAAUAUUGGUGAAACAUUUCCUUGAAUUUUAUGUGUAGAGUAUGAGUACUAAUCAGUUGUGCUGUAUUAUGAUACUGGUGAUGUCUGAUUUAUUGAUUCUGUCUCAAGUUUGCUU